rnacentral:siRNA from 1 species
UUGAGGCAAUAACAGGUCUGUG